UGGGGAAUUUUGGACAAUGGGCGAAAGCCUGAUCCAGCAAUGCCGCGUGUGUGAAGAAGGCCUUCGGGUUGUAAAGCACUUUUGUCCGGAAAGAAAUCCUUGGCUCUAAUACAGUCGGGGGAUGACGGUACCGGAAGAAUAAGCACCGGCUAACUACGUGCCAGCAGCCGCGGUAAUACGUAGGGUGCAAGCGUUAAUCGGAAUUACUGGGCGUAAAGCGUGCGCAGGCGGUUUGCUAAGACCGAUGUGAAAUCCCCGGGCUCAACCUGGGAACUGCAUUGGUGACUGGCAGGCUAGAGUAUGGCAGAGGGGGGUAGAAUUCCACGUGUAGCAGUGAAAUGCGUAGAGAUGUGGAGGAAUACCGAUGGCGAAGGCAGCCCCCUGGGCCAAUACUGACGCUCAUGCACGAAAGCGUGGGGAGCAAACAGGAUUAGAUACCCUGGUAGUCCACGCCCUAAAACGAUGUCAACUAGUUGUUGGGGAUUCAUUUCCUUAGUAACGUAGCUAACGCGUGAAGUUGACCGCCUGGGGAGUACGUCGCAAGAUUAAAACUCAAAUGAAUUGACGGGGUCAUAGCUGUUUCCU
rnacentral:rRNA from 1 species